AACGAACGCUGGCGGCAUGCCUAACACAUGCAAGUCGAACGAGACCUUCGGGUCUAGUGGCGCACGGGUGCGUAACGCGUGGGAACCUGCCCUUAGGUUCGGAAUAACUCCCCGAAAGGGGUGCUAAUACCGGAUAAUGUCUUCGGACCAAAGAUUUAUCGCCUUUGGAUGGGCCCGCGUUGGAUUAGCUAGUUGGUAGGGUAAAAGCCUACCAAGGCGACGAUCCAUAGCUGGUCUGAGAGGAUGAUCAGCCACACUGGGACUGAGACACGGCCCAGACUCCUACGGGAGGCAGCAGUGGGGAAUAGUGGACAAUGGGCGAAAGCCUGAUCCAGCAAGGCCGCGUGAGUGAUGAAGGCCUUAGGGUUGUAAAGCUCUUUUACCCGGGAUGAGAAUGACAGUACCGGGAGAAUAAGCUCCGGCUAACUCCGUG
rnacentral:rRNA from 1 species